ACCUAGGACGGUUAACCUACGAAGAAUUAGCCAGACGUUUCCCGUGCGUUGCGAACGAGCGAGCGAAGCCUUUGCCCUCGAGCGACGCCACACCAGACCCUUCGCCCUCGCAGCCGCCGCCGAUCCCCUCCCUCAAACGCCGCCGCCCUUCGCUGCCGCCCCCGCCACCUCCCGUCGCGGGCAGGCGGGAGGAGCCCUGCCCGGCCAUGGCGACACCCGCCGGCGGCCUCCUCCUCCCCCUCACCUUCUCUCCCUCUCCCAAGGGAGGGAAGGGAAUGGAAGGGAUCUGAUUGGAGCGGUCGAUCUGCGCCCUUGCCGUCUCUUCUUUCCUUCACCGAUUCCAGGAGGAGAUCGAAGUGGAAGGUAGACGAGCAGGAGCGCCGCGUCCGCGACAGCGAUGAGCGACGACCCAGGUUCUCCUCUCCCAUGGCAGGGGUCGGCGAGUGGCAACAGAUGCGGGACACCAACUGGUGGCGCAACGGACAGCGAGAGGCAGGACACCAACUGGGCGCGCCUCUCGCGGCCGACUUCCACGGCGGCGACAUCGUUUACCUUGGCGCCUGAUUCUUUCCGACUCAGCGAUCCCCGCGGGCACCGAUGGACGGCGACGGGCAGCACGUGCGGCCGCGGAGCCGCGCGCUCCUGACCGACGACGAGGAUGACGGGGCGUACGCCAGCGACGUGUACAGCGGCAACCUCACCGCCACGGGCGGGUCUCGCGCUGGCCGGAUCUUGGGGCGGUAGCAGUACUUGGUGCCGCGCCGCCGUGGCGACUACGGCAGCGUCGGGGUCGUCGUCGUCCUCAUCCGCACAGGGUAGCUGGACUGGGAGGUUUGCUGCUUCCGGUCAGCAGACGAUGGCUAUGACGCUAUGCCCAGCACGAGUGCUAACGCCAUCACGGCCGGCACCACUGGCACCAGCAGCCGUUCGGUGUGCUCUCCGGGAUGCUGCAGUCGAAGGGUCGAGCAGGAGCUAUGGAUGCCAGCAAACAAGCCUGUGCAGACGGCAAUGCAUCAAUCAAAUUGGAUGGAGAACAUCACACAACAGGUAAACAUUCUUGUAUACUGAU